GCCCGCUUGGCUCAGCGGUAGAGCGUAAGUAACAACUUCAAACCAAAAACCUGACUAGCACACUAAUUCGUUAUAGGCAUCACUUGUAAUGAUGAGGUCGUCAGUUCGACUCUGGCAGUGGGCA